ACAGAUUAAUACGACACUCGGUGAGUGUUGGACGUAUCGCAGAACUUCUUAAGUAAUAAGUGUAAAAAUUUUAAGUUCUUCAAGCGUCCAUUAUGUCGAGGAUGAUAGAUCUAUAUCGAUAUAGAUAACCGAUUACAUUUAUACAUGUGUUGUGUCCUGAAAGAACAAAAGUGUCCAUGUACCUAUAAAUAGAUUUAUAUCAAUCUUCUUCCUUGGUGAAUCGUCCAGACGAAAUCAUCAUUGGUGUUGUACGUUUCGAGAUCGAGAUGAAAAGUCGACGAGAAGGAUUAAACCGAGGCAUGGAGCGUGCUCGAUUGCGGUCCCGUCUGAUAAGAGCUGCCUGUUGGAGC